rnacentral:rRNA from 1 species
UACAGAGGGUGCAAGCGUUGUCCGGAAUCACUGGGCGUAAAGGGCGCGUAGGCGGCCCGAUAAGUAGGGGGUGAAAUCUUGCGGCUCAACCUGGGAACUGCAUUCGAUACUGCCGAGCUAGAGUGUGGGAGAGGGUGGUGGAAUUCCCGGUGUAGCGGUGAAAUGCGUAGAUAUCGGGAGGAACAUCAGUGGCGAAGGCGACCGCCUGGCCCAACACUGACGCUGAGGUGCGAAAGCGUGGGUAGCAAACAGG